GUGUCUUCAGGGAGAAAAUUCGGCCAUUUUGUUUUAAGACGCAGCCGAAGUGGGUUACUGCCGAGUGUCCGUAACGUUUCUCAUGAUGAAAAAAGAAAGGUGAUUUAGCAUGUAAAUACCACUUAGCCAAGUCAUCUAAACUUCUAGUUGAAAGUGCCUGUACAUUUUGCCGAAAUGUCGUGCCUUUUUUGGCUGUCCUUGUAUGUCUUGCUGCCUCUAGAUUCAACAAUACGUAAUCUAGCCUGUAAAUUUCACUUGUCGAAGUAAUCUGAGCACCGUGGGCCAAAACUGCUCUCCAUUUGGCCAAAACUUCGUCUAUUCUCUAUUGCUACCUGUACGGAUUGGUUGCAAAUCUCAUCCCAUGCAGAUACUUUGGAUUAAUGAAAUUUAUGUUCAGGUAGUAGUUUGCUGAUCUAUGGAAGCAUUUGAGAACAGGGGUAAGUCGGAGCUUUGUUGCUAUCAUGCGUGUGGUUUUGCUUCAGCUGGUGAAAGGGGUGACUAGUCAAGUUGAGCUGCAGCAUGCAGUCUGUUAUCUGCUGGUGUUAUCCUAAAAUGUAACAGCAAUCGAACAGUUCUUGAAAUGGCAAAAAAAAAUAAUUGGUUGUAACUAUAAUAGUUUUUAUUGAAAUACUGUUUUCAGGUCACAAGAUGAACUUUGAUAACAAAAAUUAGUGAUAUGGUUUUCUUUUACAUGGGGUACACAGCAUAACAGCCCACAUCUCUACUUGACAGCUCUACCAAUGUGUUCAACAGGAUCAGAAGUAACAUCAGUGAUGCCAAGAAUCUAAGGACUUGAAAAAGGUUUCUCAUUUUACAGUCAUGGUGAUCCUAAAGAAGAUGAAAAUUUUUAAGUUUUAGUUUUUUAUGUAGAGACAAAUGAUGGUUGGCUGAAAACAAUGGGAUGUACAUGGCUCAUUUUAUCGUCACUCUGGGUGGUGGACAUGUUAUAACUUAUAAAAUGUUUCCACAAGAAUGCAGUCAACUAUUAUCAAUUUGAUUAUUAGAUGACCUGUUUAUUUCUUCUUUUUUUUGCUCCAUCAUUUGAUAAGGGUUUAUUGUGAUGAACUGACAGGUGGAUGGUGGCAGCUUAGUUUGAUACAGGGAUCCAUUCUUUGAUGGUUUCGAUUCGGACUAGCCCGGUGCAUCAGUGGGCCCUCUUCCGACAAACCCAGAUCAGUUUCAUUAUCAAUGAUAUUUUCGAAUUUUUUUAGAAAAUGGCUAAUUGGUUUUCUUUUGUGAACAUAUGUUGGUGAUGGACCGGAAAUUCCAGAAUCGGAUGAGAUUUACGGCGGUGACUGUAGAACAGGAUGCAUAUUCGGAAGUCAUGGGCUGGCUGAUGGGCCCGCAACACGUCCAGUAGCCACAUCAAGACUCGGAAACGUUUUCGGUUCUCCGUUGCUGACGUCGGCCGUCUUGACUGAGUUGAUACCUGGAUUCUUCCCGAAUCUUCACUCGCUUCGACGACGACAAAGAAUUUUUCCGGUUCUAAUUUUUAUGUGAAGCGGGAGCGAUAACUGGGAGCAGCUGCCGAAUGAUUCUGAAACCACGAACUUACUCGUCCGUUUGGUGCGCCGAUUCGCCAAUUAUUUGUUUGGUCGUUUGUAUCGCAAUCGACUCCAACAUCACCGCAAUGAACCAAAACUAGGACGCUAUUUUGUUGCCGGGAGUUAUCAAAGAUAUCCUAUCGGUGCUGGAUCGUGGAUCGAAUCAUUCGUUCGGCUGAAGAAUAUCUCGAUUCUCUCGAAUGACCUGGCGCAACAACUCACAGAUCUCGUCCGGGAUCAACUCGCUUAUUCAAUCCCGCCAUUUUGGGAUCCAGCGAAGAAAACUUUUACUUCUCAGCUGAAUUUUUCAGUGUCGUACCAAAUGAGGUCGUUGUCCACUUUUCAACAACGGAUGCCACUGCUUCUAGUCAAUCUGCUGGACCGUAUUUGGCUUAAAAGAUUCAUUUCAGAUUUUUUGAUUGUUUGAAAUUGCCGUGAACUAGUUUGUUUGUUUUUUGUUUGUUUUCUGCAAUUCGUCUUGUUGUUUAGCGCCUAGAGUAGCAUAUCCAUAUCUGAGUAAGUGUCUAAUAGUUUGCGUAUUGGCCCAGUCGAAAGUACUGGAUAAAGUCUGAUUGGCGGCGAUCGUGUGCCCUUGGCCAGUUUUAGUGAUUAAGAGAACGCUGCCGUAGUUAAUGUCGUAAAAGUGGUGAUUUAUGACUCCGGCCUCUCUAGUUACAUUUCGUCGUCAGAAACAAAAAGGUUUUCCAUUCAGGGUUCACCAUCACUCAUACCGGUCUGUUACAGCAGUAGUCAACGGCGUACAGCGAAUUUUUUUUAUCAAUUUUUUUUUUUUUCAUUUAAAUGCUACAGUGCAUUAAUGUUAGUAGUUUUGUGAGUAAGAGUUCAUUGAGGAAGUAUUGGGUUAGUACAUGCAUGGUUUUAUAUAUUAGAAGAACAGACAUGGGAAACAUCGGGAGGUAAUAGAGGGGGGACAUGUGGAAGGAGUAGGAAAUGAACCUGGGGCCUUUCUUAUCAUCACUAGGGGCCGCAAUCAUGACACAGUGGACCAAUAUCUAAUUUGAUAAAUCUCGGGAAUUUUAUCAGAUCCGUUACAGGGCUGGCUGAGAAUGCUGUGAAAUGUUUCAAUUUAGGCUACACAGUAGGUAGCUAUUGGUUAUAGCUAAAAAUUGUCACGAGUUACGUGUUUGAAUCUUGUAGGACAAUGGAGGACUAAGAGGGUAGGAAGCAGAAGUGCUAAUACAUGCAGUAAAAUGCGAAUGUAUAAGAAAAGAAACGUGGUAAGUUGCAAUUUUAUUUUUCAACGGGAUAUUUACAUCCAUCAGGAUGAUUCCAUUCAUAUUAGAAAUGUUUGGUUAGUAAUGUAACUAUAAUUGCGUAUUAUAGAGACGUUACAUAGUGUUUAAGGAUUGAUCCACCGUAGUGUUGGUAGUUUUAAAUGGUACACGCGAAUCUUUCAGUCUUAUUCUGCAGUGUUGUGUUAGCAAUGGAGGAGUAGGUUUGUCGAAUUUGUGUUCUGGUCAUCCGUGUGGACAAUCGGUUUGACUGAGUGUUAGCUUGUCAAGGUUGUUUUAACUCUUACUUUUAUACGGCAGUAUAAAACUAAAUCAAUAAAUGUGUAAUUGAAAUUAA